rnacentral:rRNA from 1 species
UGGGGAAUUUUGGACAAUGGGCGAAAGCCUGAUCCAGCAAUGCCGCGUGUGUGAAGAAGGCCUUCGGGUUGUAAAGCACUUUUGUCCGGAAAGAAAUCCUUGGCUCUAAUACAGUCGGGGGAUGACGGUACCGGAAGAAUAAGCACCGGCUAACUACGUGCCAGCAGCCGCGGUAAUACGUAGGGUGCAAGCGUUAAUCGGAAUUACUGGGCGUAAAGCGUGCGCAGGCGGUUUGCUAAGACCGAUGUGAAAUCCCCGGGCUCAACCUGGGAACUGCAUUGGUGACUGGCAGGCUAGAGUAUGGCAGAGGGGGGUAGAAUUCCACGUGUAGCAGUGAAAUGCGUAGAGAUGUGGAGGAAUACCGAUGGCGAAGGCAGCCCCCUGGGGCCAAUACUGACGCUCAUGCACGAAAGCGUGGGGAGCAAACAGGAUUAGAUACCCUGGUAGUCCACGCCCUAAACGAUGUCAACUAGUUGUUGGGGAUUCAUUUCCUUAGUAACGUAGCUAACGCGUGAAGUUGACCGCCUGGGGAGUACGGUCGCAAAGAUUCAAAACUCAAAGGAAUUGACGGGGUCAUAGCUGUUUCCU